rnacentral:rRNA from 1 species
UACACGAGUGAGAAUGCCGGAAUGAGUAGCGAGAAUUAUGUGGGAAUCAUAAUGGCCGAAAAUCUAAGGUUUCUUGGGGAAGGUUCGUCCGCCCAAGGUAAGCCGGGAGCUAAGGCGAGGCCGAAAGGCGUAGUCGAUGCACAUACGGUUGAAAUUCCGUAGCCGCCGAAAUUGUUAAGCACAGGGACACAUAGAGAUAUCCGAACCCGGGCGUUGGUUGACCCGGGCGCAAGGGACCGAACAUCAGUAGGGAAGUCGGAGAUGCUCUGUGGCGAGAAAAGCUGUGUGUAUUGAUUAGGCGCCCGUACCGCAAACCGACACAGGUAGAUGAGGAGAGAAUCCUAAGGCCAACGGGAGAAGGGUUGUUAAGGAACUCGGCAAAUUGACCCCGUAACUUCGGGAUAAGGGGAGCCUCCUACGGGAGGCCGCAGUGAAUAGGCCCAAGCAACUGUUUACCAAAAACACAGGUCUCUGCUAAAUCGAAAGAUGACGUAUAGGGGCUGACGCCUGCCCGGUGCCGGAAGGUUAAGAGGAGAGCUUAGCGCAAGCGAAGGUUCGAAUUGAAGCCCCGGUAAACGGCGGCCGUAACUAUAACGGUCCUAAGGUAGCGAAAUUCCUUGUCAGGUAAGUUCUGACCCGCACGAAUGGCGUAAUGAUUUGGGCACUGUCUCGACAGCCCGCCCGGCGAAAUUGUAGUACUGGUGAAGAUGCCAGUUACCCGCAACUAGACGGAAAGACCCCAUGGAGCUUUACUGCAGUUUAAUACUGGGAAUCGGUAAUGCAUGUACAGGAUAGGUGGGAGACUAGGAAGCAUGGUCGUCAGGUCAUGUGGAGUCACCGGUGGGAUACCACUCUUGUAUUGCUGAUUUCCUAACCUGCGGCCGUGAAUCCGGUCGGGGGACACUGUUAGACGGGCAGUUUGACUGGGGCGGUCGCCUCCAAAAGAGUAACGGAGGCGCUCAAAGGUUCGUUCAGCACGGACGGAAAUCGUGCAUUGAGUGUAAACGCAUAAACGAGCCUAACUGCGAGACCGACGGGUCGAGCAGUAACGAAAGUUGGAGUUAGUGAUCCGGUGGUAUGUGAGUGG